ensembl:misc_RNA Metazoa_SRP Metazoan signal recognition particle RNA
GCUGGGCAUGGUGGCUCAUGCCUGUAAUCCCUUCACUUUGGGAGGCUGAGGUGGGUGGAUCACCUGAGGUCAGGAGUUCGAGACCAGCCUGGCCAACAUGGUGAAACCCCAUCUCUA